ensembl:lncRNA
CCCUUACCCCGUCUCGCCCCUUACCCUGCGGCCGGCUCUGCACCCUGCCUAUUAUAAUAUUCUGAGCCACAUCCUGUGAGCUGUCUUACAGAUACUGAAACCCUAGGAAGAGAAGUUCACUACAUGAUGAUCAGGCUGAACCCAGGACAUGAGCUGCCACAAUUCUGAGAAUUGACUGCAAAGAAAUGGGAACAGAUGGACCCUGGGCCUAAAGACGAAGCACCUAAAACAACCAAGAUGACGCUGGUCGGACCACUGAGGACCAGUUGAAGAAGCAGAAGAUAUUAAAAAAAGAUGGGAAUAAUACACAGAAGAACUAUACAAAAAAGAUCUUCGUGACCCAGAUAACCACGAUGGUGUGAUCACUCAUCCAGAGCCAGACAUCCUGGAAUGUAAAGUCAAG